ACAGGUGGUGCAUGGUUGUCGUCAGCUCGUGUCGUGAGAUGUGGGUUAAGUCCCGCAACGAGCGCAACCCUUGUCAUUAGUUGCUACAUUCAGUUGGGCGACUCUAAUGAGACUGCCGGUGACAAGCCGGAGGAAGGUGGGGAUGACGUCAAGUCCUCAUGGCCCUUAUAGGUGGGGCUACACACGUCAUACAAUGGCUGGUACAAAGGGUUGCCAACCCGCGAGGGGGAGCCAAUCCCAUAAAGCCAGUCGUAGUCCGGAUCGUAGUCUGCAACUCGACUACGUGAAGUCGGAAUCGCUAGUAAUCGUGGAUCAGAAUGUCACGGUGAAUACGUUCCCGGGUCUU
rnacentral:rRNA from 1 species